AUAAUAUUUAUGAUGAGUUCAUAGUUCAACUGAUCUAGAAUGUAGAAUUAUGUAUCUUUCGCUCCUAUCUGAUAACUUUU